CCUACGGGACGCAGCAGUGAGGAAUAUUGGUCAAUGGUCGGGAGACUGAACCAGCCAAGCCGCGUGAGGGAUGAAGGUACAGAGUAUCGUAAACCUCUUUUGUCAGGGAACAAAGGCGGGGACUCGUCCCCGGAUGAGUGUACCUGAAGAAAAAGCAUCGGCUAACUCCGUGCCAGCAGCCGCGGUAAUACGGAGGAUGCGAGCGUUAUCCGGAUUUAUUGGGUUUAAAGGGUGCGUAGGCGGCCCGUUAAGUCAGCGGUAAAAUUGCGGGGCUCAACCCCGUCGAGCCGUUGAAACUGGCAGAC
rnacentral:rRNA from 1 species